UAAAUAAAAAUAGCAAAAUGAGCUAUUAAAAAAGAUUGAACGAAGAGUUUGAUCCUGGCUCAGGAUGAACGCUGACAGAAUGCUUAACACAUGCAAGUCUACUUGAAUUUGGGUUUUUUAACUUCG
rnacentral:rRNA from 1 species